GCCCGGAUGGCGGAAUUGGCAGACGCGUCAGACUCAAAAUCUGAUAUCGAAAGGUGUGCGGGUUCGACCCCCGCUCCGGGUACCA
rnacentral:tRNA from 1 species